rnacentral:rRNA from 1 species
AGAGUUUGAUCCUGGCUCAGGAUGAACGCUGGCGGCGUGCUUAACACAUGCAAGUCGAACGAUUAAGACGGCUUCGGCCGUGUAUAGAGUGGCGAACGGGUGAGUAACACGUGACCAACCUGCCCCGCGCUCCGGGACAACCGCUGGAAACGGCGGCUAAUACCGGAUGCUCCGGGGAGGCCCCAUGGCCUCCCCGGGAAAGCCUUGACGGCGCGGGAUGGGGUCGCGGCCCAUUAGGUAGACGGCGGGGUAACGGCCCACCGUGCCCGCGAUGGGUAGCCGGACUGAGAGGUCGACCGGCCACAUUGGGACUGAGAUACGGCCCAGACUCCUACGGGAGGCAGCAGUGGGGAAUUUUGCGCAAUGGGGGAAACCCUGACGCAGCAACGCCGCGUGCGGGACGAAGGCCUUCGGGUUGUAAACCGCUUUCAGCAGGGAAGAUUCAGACGGUACCUGCAGAAGAAGCUCCGGCUAACUACGUGCCAGCAGCCGCGGUAAUACGUAGGGGGCGAGCGUUAUCCGGAUUCAUUGGGCGUAAAGCGCGCGUAGGCGGCCGCCUAAGCGGAACCUCUAAUCCCGGGGCUCAACCUCGGGCCGGGUUCCGGACUGGGCGGCUCGAGUGCGGUAGAGGCAGGCGGAAUUCCCGGUGUAGCGGUGGAAUGCGCAGAUAUCGGGAAGAACACCGAUGGCGAAGGCAGCCUGCUGGGCCGCCACUGACGCUGAGGCGCGAAAGCUGGGGGAGCGAACAGGAUUAGAUACCCUGGUAGUCCCAGCCGUAAACGAUGGACGCUAGGUGUGGGGGGACCAUCCCCCCGUGCCGCAGCCAACGCAUUAAGCGUCCCGCCUGGGGAGUACGGCCGCAAGGCUAAAACUCAAAGGAAUUGACGGGGGCCCGCACAAGCAGCGGAGCAUGUGGCUUAAUUCGAAGCAACGGGAAGAAGCUUACCAGGGCUUGACAUGCGAGUGAAGCGGCGGAGACGCGGGGGCCGAGAGGAGCUCGCGCAGGUGGUGCAUGGCUGUCGUCAGCUGGUGUCGUGAGAUGUU